UCACACUGUUCCCCUCGUCCUUGUUGAGGCUGUGUCUGGAGCAACUGUGCUUGUUGUUGGAGCAACUGCUGUUGCACCUGCUGUUGCAUUUGCAUGAGGCCCACCAUGGUCUGCAUAACCUGGCUUAAGCCCGGUUCCUGUCCCGUUUGAGGGCUCAUGACUCCCUCCUGCUGAGGGAUACUCGUAGCCCGUUGGGGUGUGCUGUCAGCAUGCCGGUUCGGUGUCUCAUUCGUAGCACCAAUAGUAGUCUUUUUCGCCCGACGUUGAGGCAUUCUGACCUAUAUGCAUCAAAUCACAGCAAAUUCAUAAAAAGAAAGCUCACCGAAUUAAAAUAUUUUUUUUUAUAAGAAUAAUCAUCACAUUCUUUACGUCUAACGUCCCAAUGUCCCUAGUGUCUACCCACCUAUACUCAUAUCGGGUAUGAUUCUUUGUCUUCAAUUCUAUUCAAGUCCGCUCUGGUACCACUUAAGUUGUCACGCCCCCGUCCCGAGAUCGCGGGCCGGGGGUCGCGCCAACCGCCGCACACCCGUAGGAAACUCUCCCCACGAGCAUGCAAGGCAUCUAAAUCAAACACCUCAAUUAUGAAAUUCCAAAAUAAUUUAACAGAAUAAAUUGAAAUCUUAUUCCAUUGACUAACUCAAGUCAUAAUGUCUCACAAGUCUAAAUAUGCAGCGGAAUAAUCAUUUACCAACAUGCAGAAACCUAGUUCUUCAAAUAAUAAAAGUUCACCAAUCAUAAUAACUGUCCAUAAUAACAAAUCAACUUAAAUAACCCUAAUCUAAGAUAACUUGUGCCACAAUCUUUCUAGUCGCUCUCUCAAUUUGAAUCCCCAAUAGACUAGUUCUCGAAAUCUGUAAAACAACAAGAGAUGGUAUAAUGAGCUAGACAGCCCAGUAAGUAAUGAACACUCUAGCUAGAUAAAUCAAGCAAUAAUAUAUGGAAAAUAAAUAAAUAUGCAGUUUCAAAGUAUAAGUCAAAUAUUUCUUGAAUUCAUAAGAUUCUUUUCGCGGUUUCAAGAUUCUUUCACAUAUUCAAUUUAUCAUGUCGAUCCUGGACUAUGACCACAUGUUCCCUGUGGCAGGAUCAUCAACACCGACUAAUCUUCUUGCGGUGAGUCCUUCAGGACAGUCAAUUGCCAACGUAUCUGCCCCCAUUGGCGGGGUCCUCAACAUAGCCAGGUCGAUAGUUCAGUUUGUUCUCUAUUUCAUAUUU
rnacentral:lncRNA from 1 species